AAAAUUGGAAAGAUUUUUUUUGGGCGGGGAUCAAGAGCAAUAACGAAAAAUGUUUGUCAUAAACCGUUUUUCAUUAUUGCUCCUGACCUUCUCUCAUUUGCUGUAUUCUGUGAAGUGA
rnacentral:pre_miRNA from 15 species